CUGCCCGGCCAUACCACCCUAAACGCGCCCGAUCUCGUCUGAUCUCUGAACCUAAGCAGGGUUGGGCCUGGUUAGUACUUGGAUGGGAGACCUCACAGUUCUUGAGCCUGCAUAUCGGAAGUCAGGGGCUAGCAAGG
rnacentral:rRNA from 1 species